UUAAUACAUGCUAGAGAACUGAUAUAUAAAUCAUUCUCCUAAAGCUAUGUCACACAAAAAAAAAGAAUGGAUCAAGCACAAAGGCUAUGAGAGUAGUCCAUUAAUUCAAUCCAUACUUUAUGAUACCUAGGACAAACUUAUGCAUCAACCCAAAGUACCUUAAAUGAUCCAUGAUCAAUUAGGAGGAAGAUUUGAAAUGAUGAAAGUUCAUCAAGUACCAACUCAUACAUCAUGAACAAGAUGGACUCACACCAUCCAAUUGAUCA
rnacentral:lncRNA from 1 species